rnacentral:rRNA from 1 species
UGGCGGACGGGUGAGUAAUGUCUGGGAAACUGCCUGAUGGAGGGGGAUAACUACUGGAAACGGUAGCUAAUACCGCAUAACGUCGCAAGACCAAAGAGGGGGACCCUCGGGCCUCUUGCCAUCGGAUGUGCCCAGAUGGGAUUAGCUUGUUGGUGGGGUAACGGCUCACCAAGGCGACGAUCCCUAGCUGGUCUGAGAGGAUGACCAGCCACCACUGGAACUGAGACACGGUCCAGACUCCUACGGGAGGCAGCAUG